rnacentral:rRNA from 1 species
CAGAGGUUACUGCUAUYGRGAUUCGACUAAGCCAUGCGAGUUGAAUGUUCUUCGUGAACAUGGCGGACUGCUCAGUAACACGUGGACAACCUACCCUUGGGUCCGGCAUAAUCCUGGGAAACUGGGAAUAAUUCCGGAUAGGUCACCGAUGCUGGAAUGCGCGGUGGCCGAAAGCUCCGGCGCCCGAGGAUGGGUCUGCGGCCUAUCAGGGUUGUAGUGGGUGUAACGUACCUACUAGCCUACGACGGGUACGGGUUGUGAGAGCAAGAGCCCGGAGAUGGAUUCUGAGACACGAAUCCAGGCCCUACGGGGUGCAGCAGGCGCGAAAACUUUACAAUGCGGGAAACCGUGAUAAGGGGAUCUCGAGUGCCAGCAUAUAAUGUUGGCUGUCCAGAUGCCUAAAAAGCAUCUGUUAGCAAGGGCCGGGCAAGACCGGUGCCAGCCGCCGCGGUAACACCGGCGGCCCGAGUGGUAACCGCUAUUAUUGGGUCUAAAGGGUCUGUAGCCGGCCAGGUAAGUCCCUUGGGAAAUCUGGCAGCUCAACUGUCAGGCUGCUAGGGGAUACUGUUUGGCUUGGGACCGGGAGAGGUGAGAGGUACCUUGGGGGUAGGGGUGAAAUCUUGUGAUCCUCGAGGGACCACCAGUGGCGAAGGCGUCUCACCAGAACGGGUCCGACGGUAAGGGACGAAAGCUAGGGGCACGAACCGGAUUAGAUACCCGGGUAGUCCUAGCCGUAAACGAUGCUCGCUAGGUGUCAGUCACGGUGCGACCGUGAUUGGUGCCGUAGGGAAGCCGUGAAGCGAGCCACCUGGGAAGUAUGGCCGCAAGGCUGAAACUUAAAGGAAUUGGCGGGGGGAGCACUACAWCGGGUGGAGCCUGCGGUUUAUUG